CUAAUCUCUCUCUCUCUCUCUCUCUCUCUCUCUCUCUCUCUCUCUCCUCUGAAAGCCCCAAACCCUCCACCACCAUGGGUCGCCGCCCCGCUGUUGCUAUCGCGAGAUCAAGAAUAAGCCCUACCCUAAGUCCCGCUUCUGUUGCGGACUGCUCGACCCGAAGAUAUGAAUCUACGACCUAAGCAUGAAGAAGAAAGGCGUCGACGAGCUCCAAUCCCUUCUGCAUCCACCUCGUCUCCUGGGAGAAGGAGAACAACUCCUCCGAGACUCUCGAAGAUUUUGCGAUUUGAUUAUUUGAUUUUCGAUUGCGAUUGCGUAUAAUAAUUGAGUCUGUUUUGAUGCGAUUUGAUUGGCUCGUGUUAACUGGUCGUUGUGGAUUUGUUUUGAUUGGUAUGUGAAUCAAAACAGUUAGAGUGUUGAAGAUUUGAAAUCUUGAACUGAUGAUCUGGUUAAAGAUUCUAAAGGGGGAGAGGUGAAUUCCGACAAAUAUGUAUGAGCCAAGUUGUUUGACCUUGAAAUGGUUGCAGGAGUGGUUUAAUUUUGUUUUAUAUGUAGAUACUAUUAGAGCUGCAUAUAUAGCAUCCGGUGGUAGUAGUUGUAUCUCAUCGGGAAAAUAUAAGUGUGGCAUGGGGAGGUGUACAAAAUUGAUCGAAGAGUAAGUGCAUAAUUCACACAGAAGUCAAUCUGUGAGUAUGUAUAGGUGGUGUCGCGCACCGAACUAAUAUAUGUGUAGACACACUAGACAGAGCCCACGUAUAAGUGCAUAAUUCACACAGAAGUAGUGUAUGUGGAUUAACACAGCAGGAAUCCCAUGUAUAAUUGCCAAGCGAUAUAAUUACCUAUGAAAUUACUGAAUUACCUCGUGGGCUAAUAAUACAUGUAAUGGGUUUUUUAGGUUGGCUGAGCCCCACAGUAGCUGACUGGGGUGUGAAGAUCGUGCAUAAGGCAAGUAAUGACGAUGCUAACCCUCCUAAUGAGGGAGGUGUUAACAAUCUCCGACUGUUGCCUUGAUUAUUCCUCUUGUGAAAUCCCUUAUACCACAAAUAUGAUUUUGCAGAAGAUUGAUUUAUCUCAGUUUCAGUUUCUUUGAUCUCUUUUCUAAAGUUUAAGUCUCAAUUUUGAACAACAAUUGCUUCUUUUUUUUUUUUGAAAUUUGCUGUAGGAACUUAUACAGCCUCAGCCCUCGAACUGAAGAACAUAAGGAUUCAUUUUGAGGCAAAUUUUGUUUUCAUAUGAUACAAAGUAUGAUUUUAUGGACUAGCAGGGUUCUCAC